CUACUUUGCCAUGGUUUUGAGCGAACAAGCACAGGUCAUCAGGCAUACAUAGCAGGUAUGUUUACCCUCUGAGCCAUCUGCAAUCCUAGCUUGUGCAUUUUUAUAAUGGCAUACACAUGCAAAGCAAUGGGUAUCUGAGAAAAACACAGCAUUUUUCUGGAAAGCAUAAUGCUAAGUAGCUAAAGCUCCAAAUCAUCUAAAUUCUGUGAUACAAUUAAAGGUUUUGAAAUACUUUUAACAUGAGGCCUUACGUAUUUCAGACUAGCCUUGAAUUUCCUAUGCAGUUGACUUCCUGAUCCUGUCUUUGCCCAUGAAGUGCUAGUAUUACAGGCCUGUACAACCAUGCCUGUGGAGUAGUUUUAAUCAAAGUUUGUGUUUCUUAUCUUUCAAAAUAUUCUGUAAUAUUCUAAUACUACAAAACGAUCUCAAAUGUCCCCAUGUUGCAGGUUAUCUUCGCAAUAUUAAAUUGUAGAAAUGUGCUUCUGAGAGAAGCUCCCAGUGAAAGCCGGAGCUUCAUAGAAUGGGCGAACUACCUGGUUGUGAAAUCUGGAUGGGGACAAAAGGAAGAGUAUCAUCAGGAGUUGAAGACUUUAAACAUUUGUGCCAAUCCACAUAACUUCCUGGGCCACCAAGAAUGUAUACCAGAACAUUAAAUAUUUCUUGAAAAUCAUAUAAUUCACUUUUCUUAAUAGAUAAAUUUUUGUUAAUGUGUACCAAUUUUAUUAUCCAUUCAUCAGGUGAUAAACAUCUAGCCCAUUUCCAUUUCUUGGCUAUUGUGAAUAGAGCAGCAAUGACCAUAAGUGAGCAAAUACCUCUGUAGUAAGAUACAGAAUCUUAGUCGGGCAUUGGUGGUGCACUCCUUUAAUCCCAGCACUCGGGAAGCAGAGGCAGGUGGAUCUCUGUGAGUUCGAGACCAGCCUGGUCUACAAGAGCUAGUUCCAGGACAGCCUCCAAAGCCACAGAGAAACCCUGUCUUGAAAAACCAAAAAAAAAAAAAAAAAAAAAAAAAAACAAAAACAAAAAACCAGAAUCUUCUGGAUAUAUGCCAAAGAGUAGCAAAGUUGUAAAUUGUGGUAGAUCUAUUUCCAGCUUUGCAAAGAACUUCCAUACUGAUUUCCAUAGUGGCUAUAUAAGUCUGUGCUACCACCAGCAAUGGAUCAGUGGUCCCCUUUCCCACUUCCUCUCUAGUACCUGCUAUCAUUAGUUGUUUUAGUCUCAGCCAUUAUGACUGAGGUAUGAUGUUGUAGAAUAUUACUUUAAUUAUGUAAAGGUGUGUUACAUUUGUUUAUGCUGUAUUUGUUUAAUUAUGUAAAGGUGUGUUGCUUUUGUUUAUGCUUCACUUGUUUAGUUAUGUAAAGUUGGGUCGCUCUUUCCCCUUGCCUGCCUAAGGCCCACGAUUGGUUUAAUAAAAAGUUGAAUGGCCAAGAGCUAGGCA
rnacentral:lncRNA from 1 species